AGAUAUGAGAGUGAUCUGGCUGUGACAUCUGUCACUUCAGUGAUCACCAGGGUUAAUUUUGCUGGCUUAGUGGGAGUUCCCUUCCUUGCUUGCUGCUGUGCGGGCAUCUCUCCUGAAGCUGCUUGCUCAGUGGAAGAGGUCAGCUAUCCCAGACGGGGGCAUUAUUUAAUUUCAUAACCCAUCCCUGUUCAAAAACUCUUUGAAAUAAAUAACCCAGACCUAUCAAAGCUAAAACAGAUAAAAUGUUUUAUCUAUUCUU
rnacentral:snRNA from 1 species